AUUGAACGCUGGCGGCAGGCCUAACACAUGCAAGUCGAACGAGUUGCGGACGGGUGAGUAAUGUCUGGGAAACUGCCUGAUGGAUGGGGAUAACUACUGGAAACGGUAGCUAAUACCGCAUACCAUCAGAUGUGCCCAGAUGGGAGUAUCUAGUUGGUGUGGUAACGGCUCACCAAGGCGACGAUCCCUAGCUGGUCUGAGAGGAUGACCAGCCACACUGGAACUGAGACACGGGCCAGACUCCUACGGGAGGCAGCAGUGGGGAAUAGUGCACAAUGGGCGCAAGCCUGAUGCAGCCAUGCCGCGUGUAUGAAGAAGGCCUUCGGGUUGUAAAGUACUUUCAGCGGGGAGGCGUUACCCGAAGAAGAAGCACCGGAUAACUCCGUGCCAGCAGCCGCGGUAAUUC
rnacentral:rRNA from 1 species